UACAGAGGUCCCGAGCGUUGUUCGGAUUCACUGGGCGUAAAGGGUGACGGCAGGUGGGUUUGGUCAAGAUUUGAUUGUGAAGCCCAGGGCCGUUAACCCGGGAAUGGCAUUGAAUACUGCAGAUCUGGAGGAUUGGAGGGGGGACUGGAAUUCUUGGUGUAGCAGUGAAAUGCGUAGAUAUCAAGAGGAACACCGGUGGCGAAGGCGGGUCUCUGGGCCGUAACUGACGCUGAGGAGCGAAAGCAUGGGGAGCGAACAGG
rnacentral:rRNA from 1 species